CAGAGUUGUAAAACUCCCAAACCACUGUAAACUGUACCCAACCUUGCUUCGGCGGGGGCUCCCCAGAGGGAGCCGCGCCCCCUUAGGCCACGGGGGCAGCCCGCCAGAAGGCUACUAAACUAUAUUAUCAUUGGCAUCUCUGAGGCAUUAUAAAAUGAAUCA
rnacentral:misc_RNA from 1 species